rnacentral:rRNA from 1 species
UAUUGCACAAUGGGCGCAAGCCUGAUGCAGCCAUGCCGCGUGUGUGAAGAAGGCCUUCGGGUUGUAAAGCACUUUCAGUCAGGAGGAAAGGUUAGUAGUUAAUACCUGCUAGCUGUGACGUUACUGACAGAAGAAGCACCGGCUAACUCCGUGCCAGCAGCCGCGGUAAUACGGAGGGUGCGAGCGUUAAUCGGAAUUACUGGGCGUAAAGCGUACGCAGGCGGUUUGUUAAGCGAGAUGUGAGAGCCCCGGGCUCAACCUGGGAACUGCAUUUCGAACUGGCAAACUAGAGUGUGAUAGAGGGUGGUAGAAUUUCAGGUGUAGCGGUGAAAUGCGUAGAGAUCCGAAGGAAUACCGAUGGCGAAGGCAGCCACCUGGGUCAACACUGACGCUCAUUACGAAG